AACGAACGCUGGCGGCAUGCCUAACACAUGCAAGUCGAACGAGACCUUCGGGUCUAGUGGCGCACGGGUGCGUAACGCGUGGGAACCUGCCUUUAGGUUCGGAAUAACUCAGAGAAAUUUGAGCUAAUACCGGAUAAUGUCUUCGGACCAAAGAUUUAUCGCCUUUAGAUGGGCCCGCGUCGGAUUAGCUAGUUGGUGGGGUAAAGGCCUACCAAGGCGACGAUCCAUAGCUGGUCUGAGAGGAUGAUCAGCCACACUGGGACUGAGACACGGCCCAGACUCCUACGGGAGGCAGCAGUGGGGAAUUUUGGACAAUGGGCGCAAGCCUGAUCCAGCAAUGCCGCGUGCAGGAUGAAGGCCUGGUUGUAACUAGCUUUG
rnacentral:rRNA from 1 species